AACGUCAUCAAAAUGCCCAGCGUAUGAUGUCAUGUAUUCUCGCAUAGGAAGUUAUUCUGUAGGUGAAGUAUUCCGUUUUAUAAGGUUUGAAAAAAAUUACACUAAGGCACAGGACAUAGAAACACAAGUUAUCAGCAUGAUGGAUCACGUGCAGGAGCCUGAAAACCUUUAAGAGAUCCGCUUUAAUUUAUAUGACGACUGUGUGGCAAAGAAAGUGCAGGAGGAUCUAAGGAUCUUUUGUGAGCUGGAGAAAAAGGGAGGGAAGUAAGACUUGCAACCCUGAUGGGCGAGACCUCAGCCUAGGGGGUAAGUGAGAGAAAUGGAAUGCAGGUUCAUGCAAACUGGAGACGAGGCAAACUAGAGACCAGAAAUGGAGGAACAACCACCCAGUUGUCUGUGAAGAUCACACCUGACACAUGGUCCACCCACCACAAGACCUCAGACUGACGGUGUC